AUACUUACCUGGCGUAGCGGAUACCUAUCGUGAUCAUGCAGGCGGUUCCCCCAGGGCGAGGCUGUUCCAUUGGACUGCGGAGUGGUUGACCCUUGCGAUUAUUUUUAUUUUUAUCAAUAAAAAAAUCAUAAUAAAAAAUGUAUACCCGAAUAAUUAUUUUCUUUAUU
rnacentral:snRNA from 9 species